CUGUAUUUCGAUUUUUGAACUAUGUAUAUAAAGCUCAGUUUGUUUAGCCUUUGUUUACUCGAGCAGCUCUAUACUACUGUUUGUAGUAUUGUAUGUUUACAUGUACAGCUGUCGCUUCGUAUACAAGAAAAAUUUCGUUGUAUACGGCGGAUUUGUCGGCGUGCCCGGGGAACGAGACAUCCGGGUCGUGACACUCCCUCCCCUCUCUCUCCCCCUCUCUCUCGGACUCGGCGCACGAGCGGGAGGGAGCGGGGCACGCGCGGGAGUGGAUGCGCGCAGGGCGCGUGCACGGCGCGAGCACCGGGGGGAUGAGGAAAGGGAAAGAGGGGAAGAGAGAGAGAGAGAGAGAGAGAGAGAGAGAGAGAGAGAGGCAGGGGGGCCGGCAUGUAUGCGGGGAGAGAGAGAGAGAGAGAGAGAAAAAGAGUGAGAGAGGGAGCCAGGGGAGAAAGAGAGAGAGGGAGGAAGAGAGAGAGAGACGGAGUGAGAGAGAAAGAAUUUUAAAAUUUUAAAUUUCAAAUUUUAUAUUUUAUUUUUUACUUUUAAAUUUUAAUGUUAACUUAUAAUAUAUAUUUCAAUUUUAAGCUUCAAAGUUUCAAAUUUUAAAUCUCUAAACUCUAUAAAAUUAAUUAAAUUUAUUAAUAAUUAGUUAUAUAUUAUAUAAUUUUUUAUUCUUCUCUAUUUAAAUAAUUCUUUUACUUUGUCUCUCUUUUUAAUUUUUUUUUAUUUUUUGAAGUUUAAAAUUUAAAUUAGAUUUGAAAAUUAAAAAAAGUUAAAAAAAUAAAUACUAACAACUGAAAUAUAGAAAUAUAUUAGUUUGUUCAAAAUAUUUUAGAAACCGCAUAAAUUUUCGCUGCGAAGCGCCGGUCUUUACUAGUAUUACAUUAUACAUGCCUCCUCCAUCC
rnacentral:lncRNA from 1 species